UCCUUCUCAGGAUCACAUCUGGAGAGUUCCCAGUACUCUACCAGUCUUGACCACAGGAAGGAGAGUCGAGCAGAGGUCUAGCAGAGGCCUACCCAUUCCAUUCCUACUUGGCCAGUGGCUAGCGAGUGGAAGGCAAUCUGCCACAAGU
rnacentral:snoRNA from 1 species